GCGGCUGUCAUCUAGACUGGUAGGAUGCUAGCCUUCCAAGAGCCUCUUUUCUUUGCAAAAGAAAAGACCCUCGGGAGAAAAGAAAGCUAAUAACCCGGGUUCAAAUCCCGGCAGCCGCA
rnacentral:tRNA from 1 species